GAAGACAUUUUGGAAUUUUUUUUUUUUUGAUCAGAUUGAUUCAUUAAUGAUAAUUUAGUGAAUUUUCAUCUUCAUUAUAUGAACCAUCUAGAAGAAACAAGCUAUCCAAAUUUAAAGCUCAAAUAAUAGAAGUGAAAGGGAAAAUGAUGGACAAUAUUAAGAAAGUACAACAAAAGGCAUCAAAGCCCAAGCAUGAGAAGCCGAUACAGGAGUCAUGAAAGAGGCCUUCCUACAAGCCUUUUGGUCCGCAAACUUGGGCGUGAUUGCAAGUCCAUUUUAAUGUUUCUUAAAUGAAAAUUCAAUUGCCAUUAUUUCUUGUAGUUGUUCAACCUGCUUCAAGCUACUUUCUUGUUAUUGAAAUUAGUUUAAAAGCAUUGAUAUCUUCUUCCCAAUUUUUGAUUUCACUAUCACGCCUUGAAGAUAUAUCUUCCAUAGUAUAAACAUUUUUGUUUACAAAAUGUGUUUCUAAAUACUAAAGAUUAGUAAGUGCCUAAAAUUUAGGUGAAAAUUUAUUAAACUUUUAGAAUAGUUUCAAUAAUAUUUGACACGCUAACAUUACCUUAAAAAUAAUGCGGCCCAUGCAAUGCACGGGCAUAAGACUAGUAAAACAGGAAAGUUUCGAUUCCCUCUUAAUUUUCUUUGGCCUCCCACCAAAACAAGUUCCCUAAUUUUGGAGAGCUCUUCCUCUUCCUCUUCCUCAACCAAAACCCUUCUCUCUCACAAAUUGCAAAAUCAUUCUAUCACCCUCUCCAAAUAUCCAACCGUCGCUUAUCUCAAUAUCACUAGCGGUUCAUAAAUUUGUCUCGUUUUCUUUCUCGUCGUACAUAUUCUUGGUGAAGCUUUUUCCCCAUAUCUUCCCCUUGUUUUUCCCUUUUCUUUUCCUCUCUUUUCUUCCACAAUUACUAUUUAUAGCUAGCUAUGUCAUGGGCUUUUUUUAUUGUGUUUGAUUUCGUUUUCUAUUUUGGGUUUUUUGGAUUCUUGAUUUCUCUAUUUGUGCAUAUCUACAUGGGUUUGUGAAAUAAGGAAAUAGAAAUUUUAAUUGUUGAUAAUGGAAGUGAUAGAGUGGCAUUCGAAGGUAGCAGUAAGUGAAAGGUAGAUUUUUUCCCAGGCAUCUUACGUGUGUACUAUUUCCUUAUUCUUUAUUUAUUUCUUAAGUUCAUGACAUUCUUUCUUCGUUCUGCAUCGUUGGAAUUUGUAGGAUCAUUAGAGCUUUCUUGGUGGAAGAGCAAAAGAUUGUGAAGAAGGUUUUGAAGAUUUAGAAGGCCAAGGAAAAGCUAUCUGCUAAGAGCUGAAGAAUCAGUCAUAUGCCAAUAUAGUUAUGAAUACUAUUAAUCAAGGAUGAUUGGAAUUGUAUUAUGAGGCUUCCAUGCUUAAAUUAUGUUUGUUUCUUAGAUUUUGUCAAAUGACUGCGUUCUUCUGUUUGUUGAAAAUUCUCAUAUUUGAUUUUGGUUUCCCUGCCUUUUCAUAACAUCUUAAACUUCAUUUGGAUUUACUCGUGUAAUCCUUGAUUUUUUUUCCUUAACUGAGUUUGAGUUAUCAUUAAUUAGCUACUUCUUCUGGUGAGUUUCAAUGGUAGCUUGAUGUUCAAAUUGAUUGUUUCAGUUUCAUUGUUAGCUUCGAAUGCCAAGACCGGUGUAAUUAGGCCGUAUA
rnacentral:lncRNA from 1 species